rnacentral:misc_RNA from 1 species
AACGCACCUUGCACUCCUUGGUAUUCCGAGUAUGCCUGUUUGAGUGUCAUUAAAUUCUCAAACUACUUCUUGUUUUAUAGAGGCAGUUUGGAUUUGAGUUUGCUGGUUUUCUUUUGAAUCAGCUCUCUUUAAAUGCAUUAGUAGUUUGGCUUUGUCCCACAUUCUCAAUUGAUGUGAUAGUUUAUCUACAUCAUUAGGGAGCGAAUCUGCUUAUAACUUGCUUGAUCUCAACUCAGGUAGGACUACUUAA